CGUUCGCGCUCUGACCAGCCCGCAGAGCCAGCCCCCGACCCCGGGCCACCCGGGCCCCCGGGUUCCGCUGGCAGUCUCGCCACCACCGCGUGGGUCUGACAAGAUGUACCAGGUCCCACUGCCACUGGAUCGGGAUGGGACCCUGGUACGGCUCCGCUUCACCAUGGUGGCCCUGGUCACGGUCUGCUGUCCACUUGUCGCCUUCCUCUUCUGCAUCCUCUGGUCCCUGCUCUUCCACUUCAAGGAGACAACGGCCACACACUGUGGGGUGCCCAAUUACCUGCCCUCGGUGAGCUCAGCCAUCGGUGGGGAGGUGCCCCAGCGCUACGUGUGGCGUUUCUGCAUCGGCCUGCACUCGGCGCCUCGCUUCUUGGUGGCCUUCGCCUACUGGAACCACUACCUCAGCUGUACCUCCCCGUGUUCCUGCUAUCGCCCGCUCUGCCGCCUCAACUUCGGCCUCAAUGUCGUGGAGAACCUCGCGUUGCUAGUGCUCACUUAUGUCUCCUCCUCUGAGGACUUCACCGUCCAUGAAAAUGCUUUCAUUGUGUUCAUUGCCUCAUCCCUCGGGCACAUGCUCCUCACCUGCAUUCUCUGGCGGUUGACCAAGAAGCACACAUAUUUGGAAGUGGGGUUGGUGGGUGACUCCAUGUAACUUUCAUACUCCAUCCCCCUGAAGUGGAAGGGGCAGGAAUACCACUGCUCCUCGGCCCAUCACUCCCCCAGAGGCAGGGUCGUGAACAUGUUCGUCAUUCUUGCUGCCCCUGCCUGUGCUCCCUUCCAUGACCGCUAGUGGGAGCCAAGGGAGAUAAGGCCCAGCCCUUAGGAGCUAGGGCUGAGAGGGGAGCCCACGCUCUCAUACCCAGCAAGCUGCAGAGUGAUCAGACAGCCCAUUCCCUAGGAUCGCAAGUCCUACAG
rnacentral:sRNA from 1 species